rnacentral:rRNA from 1 species
AAUGACGGUACUUGAGGAGGAAGCCCCGGCUAACUACGUGCCAGCAGCCGCGGUAAUACGUAGGGGGCUAGCGUUAUCCGGAUUUACUGGGCGUAAAGGGGGCGUAGGCGGUCUUUCAAGUCAGGAGUGAAAGGCUACGGCUCAACCGUAGUAAGCUCUUGAAACUGGGAGACUGGAGUGCAGGAGAGGAGAGUGGAAUUCCUAGUGUAGCGGUGAAAUGCGUAGAUAUUAGGAGGAACACCAGUUGCGAAGGCGGCUCUCUGGACUGUAACUGACGCUGAGGCACGAAAGCGUGGGGAGCAAACAGGAUUAGAUACCCUGGUAGUCCACGCUGUAAACGAUGAGUACUAGGUGUCGGGGGUUACCCCC